UUUAAAAUUAAUUAAAAGCGACGGGCAAUAUGUAUAUAUUAUUUUAAAAUAUUAAAAUUUUAAACCUAUAAAAAUUUAAUUUUAAAUCCAUUUUCAUUUAAAUAUUAAAAUUUAAAAUUCAAUUUUAAAAUUUAUUUAAUGUAUUUCAUUUUAAUCUUAUACUUUUAAUAUAUUAUGAUUUGAAAUAAAUUAAUAAAAAUAAAAUUUAUUAAUUUUUUAUUACAAAAUUAAUUAAACAACAAUAUAUAAUUUAAUUAAUAUAAGUUUAUUUAAAUGUGUAUUAUCAAAUUAAUUAACAAAAUCCUCUAAUUUUAAAUAAUACUACCAAAUUAUUUAAUUUUUAAAAAUAAAAAUUUACUAAUUAAAAAAAAAAAUUAAUCCUUAUAAUA
rnacentral:rRNA from 1 species